CGUUCGCGCUUCCGCCGGCGACCGGCGCACGGGUGAGUAACACGUAUGGAACCUGCCCGCAGCAGGGGGAUAAUCGGGGGAAACCCCGUCUAAUACCGCGUAACGACCCGGAGGGGCAUCCCUUCGGGUCCAAAGGUUUACCGGCUGCGGAUGGCCAUGCGUCGCAUUAGCUUGUUGGCGGGGUAACGGCCCACCAAGGCGACGAUGCGUAGGGGUUCUGAGAGGAAGGUCCCCCACACUGGUACUGAGACACGGACCAGACUCCUACGGGAGGCAGCAG
rnacentral:rRNA from 1 species